GUCGCUGUCACUGCUGGGUGUCACCAGGGUGGUGUCACUGUCACUGCUGGGGUGUCACCAGGGUGGUGUCACUGUCACAGGUGGGGUGUCACCAGGGUGGUGUCGCUGUCACCCGUGCGGUGUCCCCGGUGUGAAAUCCCCACGAAGUUGUCACGGGGCGGGGUGUCACCCGGCUGUUGUCACCGGUCCGGUGUUGGUGCCAAGCCCGGUGUCCCCUUGUCACCCGCAGAGAGCCGCCUGGCCCUGCUGCUGUCCCUGUCCCUGCUGGGCUCCGUCACCGCGCUGGGGGCGGCCGCGUGGGGCAUCUACUACCUGAAGAGCACCGCCUGUAAGAAGGGGGAGUACAACGUGCGCGACGCCGAGGGUUCCUCCGAGGCCGCCCGCCUGCACCGCGGGGACAGCGGGGGACAACGGGAGCUCUUCGGGAUCCCGCUCACCCCCACCUGAGGGACGACGCCACCCGAGCCCCCCCCGGGGAACGCGGGCAUGUGGUGGGGACGGCGCGGUGACGUCCGCCCCGAGUGGUGGUGUUGGGUGUCGCCGCGCUGUCCCCGUGGGGGUGGGGGUGGUGGUGGUGGUGGCGGGGGGUCGCCGCAUUGUCCUCGAGGAAUGGUGUUGGAUGUCGUCAUGCUGUCCCCAAGGAGCGGUGUUGGAUGUCAUCGUACUGUCCCCAAGGAGCAGUGUUGUUGGAUGUCACCACAAUGUCUCCGAGGAAUGGUGUUGGAUGUCACCACACUGUCCCCAAGGAGUGGUGUUGGAUGUCGUCGUGCUGUCCCCAAGGAGCGGUGGUGUUGGAUGUCACCACACUGUCCCCAAGGAGUGGUGUUGGAUGUCGUCGUACUGUCCCCAAGGAGCGGUGUUGUUGGAUGUCACCGCAAUGUCCCCAAGGAACGGUGUUGUUGGAUGUCACCGCAAUGUCUCCGAGGAACGGUGUUGGAUGUCACCACACUGUCCCCAAGGAACGGUGUUGUUGGAUGUCACCACAAUGUCUCCGAGGAACGGUGUUGGAUGUCACCACACUGUCCCCAAGGAGUGAUGUCGUCGUACUGUCCCCAAGGAGCGGUGUUGUUGGAUGUCAUCGUACUGUCCCCAAGGA
rnacentral:lncRNA from 1 species